rnacentral:tRNA from 2 species
GCUCCCGUCGUUCAAUGGAUAGGACAUCAGCUUGCGGAGCUGACGAUGUCAGUUCGAUUCUGGCCGGGAGCA